UGAAACAAAAAGGAGAUAAUACAUGUGCAAAUUUCAUGUCUUCAUUCUGCUUCCCCCAUUUAGAUUGAUCCUCUGAAAAAGUAUCUAAGGAUAUUUGUCCCAAAUUCAGCCAUAACCUGCUCCAACAUCCCCCAUCUAUUCCCUCCAGGGUAACUCACAAAGCCCAUCCAUCAACUCUCAAGCUCACCUUUGUCAUGCAGAGUGGACCAGCCUGGAGCUACGAAUCCCCCUCCCCCAACACCCAACAUCCCAACACACACACACACACAUAUAUAUACUGCACACUAAUUUCUCAAAAGCCAAAUUAAAGUCACCGUCCAUCCACUGCCAGAAGCCCCUUUCCUCUUCCUUACUCCCAAAGGAAUCCUCGCCCUCCAUAGACAUCACCCUCCCCCCAGCUCCAUCCUCUAUCACAGACACACACUGGUCACCAUCCCACUUCUCCUCCCCUUCUCUAUUGCUCAGUAAUUAUAUUCUCCGCCUCCCAGUGUCAUGCUAAUAUAAGCUCCUGGCACAGCUGCCCAGAUUAAAUUAGAGCCCAAACCAGCAGGCUGACUAAUUAUAUUUUCUGGGAUGGAAUUGUCUUCCCCCACCUUUGGGGUACAGGGCCAAUAAAAAGUAAAUGAGCACUGCCAAUAUUUGCAGAGGAUAUUUGACUCUUCUUGCCUGGGUGGUUUUGUCUUCCCCAACCAAUCUGGGCCCUUGAAUUAGAUUACACCAGAAUGGGAGAAGAGAGUUUUACUCAAAUGACCCUUCUAAGUCCCAUCCAUUGUCCUGCAGGUCAGCUCAGCUGGGCCUGACCACCACCAUCAGGCCAAGGAAGAGAACAUAGCAUGAAACUCUUUCUCGUGAAUGAGACUCUUCUGCUACCUUUGUGAGUCCCUCCCUUGUUCCCAGCACCAAAAUCUUUCCUUCAGAUACUCACUGCAACCUGUCCUGAAAUGAUUGUUGCUGAAUUCUUUUUACUUCUGUCUCAUGUGAAAAAGAGUGUUGCUUCCCUUACAGAACACUGUUUCAAGGCUGAUUCUUCAACUUUUACCUUUCCUUAUUUAUGGCUGGAACAACAUAAAAGUUUCAAUUGUGAAAAGAAAUAUUUUAGACAAGUUAAGUUUAACAGAGUUUAAUAGAUUUUUUAAUUAAAUUUCUUUUUCUUUUUGCAGAGACAGGGUCUUGCUAUCUUGUCCAGGCUGGUCUCAAAAUCCUGGGCUCAAGCAAUGCUCCUCCUUUGACCUCUCAAAAUGCUGGAAUUACAGAGACUACACUGAGGAGUAUGACAAGUUUUCAGCUUGAGAAGGGCUUGCAUUCUGUAGGAGAAAUGAACAAACAGCAUUAAUGUUGAUGAUGCAACAUGGAACAAGUGCUAUGACAGAGAUUAAAAAACAAGUGCUUGUUCAUUUACUGGAAAGACAGAAGACCGAUUCAGCCUGGAAAGAAAAAUCCCUGAGAAGAUGGUAUGGACUAAACAAAUAAAUGGGAUUUUAACAAAUAAAGAAUAAAAAUUAUUUUAUUUUAUAAAGGGAGGCACAAUAAUCUAAUCUGAAUAUGAUUUGGAUGUGAGUAAGGGUUGCAGGAGGUGAGUAAGGGUUGCAGGAGAUGAGGGAGGGAGUAUGUAGAUAUCUGGGGUAAAAGCAUUUCUGGCUGAGAAGACAGCAAGUGCAAAUGCCCUGAGACAGGAUCAGGGCUUUUGAGGAAUCACAAAAAAACCCAAUGAUCUUGGAAUAGAAUGUGCAAGCCAAAGUGGGUCCAAGACCAGAUCAGAGUGAUGGGAAGCGGAGGGGGGCAGAAUAUGUAGAGCCUGGGAUGUCAUUGUAAGAACCUGGGCUUUUACUCUGAGUAAAAUAUGAAGUCAUUAGAACUUUUGGAACUAAAAAGGGGCAGAACUGUCUCUCUCACUGCUGUGUUGAGAAUAGAAUGAAAGGAUCAAGGACAUAAGUCGGAAGACCAGUCAGGAGACUAUGGCGGUAUUCCAGGUAAAACAUGAUGUGUCUCAGACAAGGGUGGUGGCAAAACUAGUGGGAUUCUUAAAUUUUGGAUGUGGGAUCAAUAAAAAUGUGUUGAUGGAUUGGAAGCAUAAGAGAAAGGGCACCCAGGAAUGACCUUAAGUUCUUGGCCUGAGCAACGGGGGAAAGGAGGUUGCCAAUAAUAACUGAGAACCUGAAGCUUGGAGGAGGAGUGAUACAGGGGACGAGCAGGAGCUCAGCUAUAGACACGCUAAAUUUGAGAUACGUUUUAGUCAUUGUUUGGUGAUAUCAGGUUGGCAAUUGGAUGUACUGGUCUAGAGUCCAGGGUGGGGUCUGGGCUGAAAAUGCAUACUUGGACAUCAUCAAUUUUUGACAAGAUGGCUUUAGAGCAUCAUAAUACACAUUUAGUUGAUUGUAGAAGGAAUAUAGAAUUGUGAUGCCAAAGUUUGUGGCUUGCUCCACCAUGAUGAAUUGCUUUCUAAAUGAUUUUAAUGUUCUCUGUGUUAUAAUGAUGUGGAAUGUUUAUUGGAAUUGCACAUUUGACCGUUAACUUACUUAAAGUGGUAAAACAUUUUUACUCUAAAAAUAAAAAAUUAAAACAAUCACACAUAGCCUACUGCCUAAGUGAUAAUCAUUGCUAAAAGUCUGCUAUAUUUCUUUCCCAUCUUUUUUCUUUGAGUGUUUCUAAAUGUGAAUUUUCUAAAAAGUCUAACAAAAUAAGUUGUUGAUAAGACAAAGCUGAGUUUUCUUUUUUUCAUCAACUUUUAUUUUAAGUUGCGGGGUACAUGUGCAGGAUGUGCAGGUUUCUUACAUAGGUAAACUUGUGCCAUAGUGAUUUGCUGCACAGAUCAACCCAUCACCUAAGUAUCAAGCCCAAUAGGCAUUACCUAUCCUUCCUGAUGCUCUUCCCCUACCCUGACAGGCCCUAGUGUAUGUUGUUCCCUGCAGUGUGUCCACAUGUUCUCAUCUUUCAGCUCCCACUUAUAUGUGAGAACAUGUGGUGUUUGGUUCUCUAUUCCUGCAUUGGUUUGCUGAGGAUAAUGUCUUCCAGCACCACCCUUGCCCUUGCAAAGGACAUGAUCUCAUUCUUUUUUAUGGCUGCAUAGUAUUCCAUGGUGUACAUGUACUACAUUUUCUUUAUCCAGUCUAUCAUUGCUGGGCAUUUGGGUUAAUUCCAUGUCUUUGCUAUUGUGAAUAGUGCUGCAAUGAGCAUACCUAUGCAUGUAUCUUUAUAAUAGAAUGAUUUACAUUCCUUUGGGUAUAUACCC
rnacentral:lncRNA from 10 species